AGCAGUUUGAUCCUGGCUCAGGACGAACGCUGGCGGCGUGCUUAACACAUGCAAGUCGAACGGAAAGGCCCUUCGGGGUACUCGAGUGGCGAACGGGUGAGUAACACGUGGGCAACCUGCCCCUAGCUCUGGGAUAACUCCGGGAAACCGGUGCUAAUACCGGAUACGACCUCAAUUGGCAUCUUCUGAGGUGGAAAGUUUUUCGGCUAGGGAUGGGCCCGCGGCCUAUCAGCUUGUUGGUGGGGUGAUGGCCUACCAAGGCGACGACGGGUAGCCGGCCUGAGAGGGCGACCGGCCACACUGGGACUGAGACACGGCCCAGACUCCUACGGGAGGCAGCAGUGGGGAAUAUUGCGCAAUGGGCGGAAGCCUGACGCAGCGACGCCGCGUGGGGGAUGACGGCCUUCGGGUUGUAAACCUCUUUCAGCAGGGACGAAGUUGACGUGUACCUGUAGAAGAAGCGCCGGCUAACUACGUGCCAGCAGCCGCGGUAGUCGGGCCCAAUCGCC
rnacentral:rRNA from 1 species